rnacentral:rRNA from 1 species
CAAUAGCGUAUAUUAACGUUGUUGCAGUUAAAAAGCUCGUAGUUGGAUUUCUGACAGGAAUGACCGGUCUGGAUCUAAAUGGUCUAGAAGUUGUGUUAUAUUUUUGUCAUCCUUAUGAAGAAUAUAUGUGGGCAUUAAGUUGUCGUGUAUAGGAUUCAUAUCGUUUACUGUGAAAAAAUUAGAGUGUUUAAAGCAGGCAUUUAGCUGUGAAUACAUUAGCAUGGAAUAAUAAGAUAGGACUUUGGUACUAUUUUGUUGGUUUGCAUACCAGAGUAAUGAUUAAGAGGGACAGUUGGGGGUAUUCGUAGUUAAUUGUCAGAGGUGAAAUUCUUAGAUUUAUUAAGGACGAACUACUGCGAAAGCAUUUACCAAGGAUGUUUUCAUUAA